rnacentral:misc_RNA from 1 species
AUAAAUGGAGGAAUCUACUGAAAGCUAGCUUUGCACAUAUACCUUCAGAUAAAGGGGUAAAUUCUCGAAAAAAUGCUGCUACAAUGCCUAUUCCUGAACCAAUAUUAUUGAGAGUUAGAGAGCUUGCUGAGAGACAGUCACAGGUUCCGCCAAAUCUAACUUCAGGCAAGGAGGCUGGAAGUAGUGGAAGUAGUGUACAUGAAAAACAGUCAGGGUACUUGUAACAUUGUAGCUAGAUCAAGAAGUUCUUAGUUGUAUAAAUUGCAAAUAAAGCACAAUAGUGUGUCCA